UCAGUUUGGCAGUAAAUACACUAAAAUUGGAAUGAUACAGAGCAGAUUAGUAGUGUCCCUGUUCAAGGAUGAAAGACAAACUCAUGAAGCACUCCAUAUUUUU